GUGGGGAAUAUUGCACAAUGGAGGAAACUCUGAUGCAGCGACGCCGCGUGAGCGAUGAAGUAUUUCGGUAUGUAAAGCUCUAUCAGCAGGGAAGAUAAUGACGGUACCUGACUAAGAAGCACCGGCUAAAUACGUGCCAGCAGCCGCGGUAAUACGUAUGGUGCAAGCGUUAUCCGGAUUUACUGGGUGUAAAGGGAGCGUAGGCGGCCUCGCAAGUCUGAAGUGAAAACCCAAGGCUCAACCAUGGGAUUGCUUUGGAAACUGCGUGGCUAGAGUGUCGGAGAGGCAAGUGGAAUUCCUAGUGUAGCGGUGAAAUGCGUAGAUAUUAGGAGGAACACCAGUGGCGAAGGCGGCUUGCUGGACGAUUACUGACGCUGAUGCUCGAAAGCGUGGGGAGCAAACAGG
rnacentral:rRNA from 1 species